rnacentral:lncRNA from 1 species
GGGCCAGAGCGGGCCGGGGCUGUAGCUGCAGCUGCGUGUCCCGGCCCCGCAAACUCGCUGGGGUUAACCCUUUCCUCGCUGUGUCCUGCCGGGGGCUGCUGCCCAGGCAAACCUCGAACCCAGACCCCACGGGACGGGACGUCAGUGAAAAGAAACAGAACAAGGACGAUUCAGUGACCUGGAGUUGAUUUGGUCAGCGCCUGCUAAGGCCUGGUUGACCCUGGGGAUAAAAGCAGUGUCAAGGGAAGCUUUGAAACCGUUCAUUCAAAUGCAACCCAGAUGCAGCCUGGCUGGUCGGGGUAUUCGGGCAAAACUCACAAUCCAAUUAUAUUUGAAAGGGGUUUUUCCUGAUCACCCCACGUAGCCAAACCGCGCCUGAGCUGUAAUCGAGUGAGCUGCUUUGAAACUGUCCUUACGAAGGGCUCUGCUGGCACCACCAGACCCACUGCGAACAGGGCCGUAGUUAUCGCUGGCUGCAGAAAGGUGGUUCAGGUGAACAUGUCUCCCAAGUUGGACUCCAUGAGUCUUUCAGAGAGAGAAGAGAUGUGGAACGAGUCAUCUCCUGCUGAGCCGACAGAGCCAGAUCCACGCCUGGGUUCCCAGGAAACCCCAAUGACACAAAACAGAACAAUUCAUGUGCCGAUCCCCCCACAGGGUGGAGAGAGCUGCACAAUCUGCCCUACAGGUUUGCUGUCUGGGUUGGAACCAUGGGCACGUCGCUGGGCAGUUCCAAGUGUGGUUCUCAAUCUCAUACUGACCAUCACCGUCAUCAUCCUCAUCUCACUGCCAGGUGAGUGUGGAGCCCGCACUGACCCCGUCUCUACAUCUUACACUCAGUGCUGG